GAAGCCUGCUUCGAGAUGAGGACUCCCACCUCCUAGAGAGGGUAAGGCUCCCAGUAGACGACUGGGUUGAUAGGCCGGAUAUGGAAGCACGGUAACGUGUGGAGUUGACCGGUACUAAUAGGCCGAGGGCUUGUCCUC
rfam:Streptomyces afghaniensis 772 genomic scaffold STAFG_scaffold749, whole genome shotgun sequence.